AUGGGGUGUACUCUACUUCCUCUACCUACAGGGCUCAGUUUGAGGGACUCAUUUCGUCGGAUCUUGUUCACUCACAGUGGAAGGUUUGCCUCCCCCCCACAGUGCAAGUUCUUUGCCUGGCUUGUCCUUCAAAAUAGGAUUUGGACAUCGUAUCGACUGAUUUGCCGCGGCUGGCCAAACUGUGGUCUAUGCCCUCUAUGUAAGCAAUGCCAAGAGUUGGCCGCCCAUCUCCUUUUCCAAUGCCGCUACACCACCCGCAUUUUGAAAAAUAUUCUUCCUUGGCUUGGAAUGCAUCACAUCACUACGACAGCUUGGCAGACAAUGACUUCGGUGAGAGCAUGGUGGAACAACAACCUUCAGAUUUUCCUUGGAUCCCCUAAGGCGCUCGCCUCCCAAAUGAUGCUUAUCUCAUGGGAGAUAUGGACGGAGCGUAAUUUCAGAGUCUUCAAAAACACAUCCAUCCCUUACACGGUUCUAAUCAGUAAGAUCAAAGCGGCGGUGUCUCUUUGGGCGAUGGUCGGAACGAAACACAUGAGUGUUGUAAUGCCGCGAGAGUACACUAGUAGAAAACAGGGCAUACAUUUGGGCCAGGUAAGCCCAUUAGUCCCGGUUCGGUCACGAACCGGUACCCAUGGGCCGAUUGGUCCCGGUUCGUGA
rnacentral:rRNA from 1 species